GACGAACGCUGGCGGCGCGCUUAACACAUGCAAGUCGAACGGAAAGGCCUGCUUUCCCUUGUGGAUUGCGGGUACUCGAGUGGCGAACGGGUGAGUAACACGUGAGUGAUCUGCCCCCAACUUGGGUAUAAGCCUGGGAAACUGGGUCUAAUUCCCGAUAGGACUGCAGGGUGGUGCCUGUGGUGGAAAACGAUUUUCUAGUGGUUGGGGAUGAGCUCGCGGCCUAUCAGCUUGUUGGUGGGGUAAUGGCCUACCAAGGCGGCGACGGGUAGCCGGCCUGGGAGGGUGGACGGCCACAGUGGGACUGAGAUACGGCCCAGACUCCUACGGGAGGCAGCAGUGGGGAAUAUGGCACAAUGGGCGGAAGCCUGAGGCAGCGACGCCGCGGGGGGGAUGACGGCCUUCGGGUGGUAAACUCCUUUCGACCGCGAGGAAGCCACCUGGUUGGAAGGGUGGUGACGGUAGUGGUAGAAGAAGCACCGGCUAACUACGUG
rnacentral:rRNA from 1 species